rnacentral:rRNA from 1 species
GGGUUGUGAGGUUAAGCGAACAAGCGUACACGGUGGAUGCCCUGGCAGUCAGAGGCGAUGAAGGACGUGCUAAUCUGCGAAAAGCGCCGGUAAGGUGAUAUGAACCGUUAUAACCGGCGAUGUCCGAAUGGGGAAACCCGGUGCACUUCGGUGCAUCAUCGUUAGCUGAAUACAUAGGCUAACGAGGCGAACCGGGGGAACUGAAACAUCUAAGUACCCCGAGGAAAAGAAAUCAACCGAGAUUCCCCCAGUAGCGGCGAGCGAACGGGGAACAGCCCAGAGCCUGAAUCAGCUUGUGUGUCAGUGGAACGGUCUGGAAAGGCCGGCGAUACAGGGUGACAGCCCCGUACACGAAGGCACACAGGCUGUGAGCUCGAUGAGUAGGGCGGGACACGUGAUAUCCUGUCUGAAGAUGGGGGGACCAUCCUCCAAGGCUAAAUACUCCUGACUGACCGAUAGUGAACCAGUACCGUGAGGGAAAGGCGAAAAGAACCCCGGCGAGGGGAGUGAAACAGAACCUGAAACCGUGUACGUACAAGCAGUGGGAGCCUUCGUAAGAGGGUGACUGCGUACCUUUUGUAUAAUGGGUCAGCGACUUAUAUUCUGUAGCAAGGUUAACCGUAUAGGGGAGCCGAAGGGAAACCGAGUCUUAAUUGGGCGUUAAGUUGCAGGGUAUAGACCCGAAACCCGGUGAUCUAGCCAUGGGCAGGUUGAAGGUUGGGUAACACUAACUGGAGGACCGAACCGACUAAUGUUGAAAAAUUAGCGGAUGACCUGUGGCUGGGGGUGAAAGGCCAAUCAAACCGGGAGAUAGCUGGUUCUCCCCGAAAGCUAUUUAGGUAGCGCCUCGUGAACUCAUCUCCGGGGGUAGAGCACUGUUUCGGCUAGGGGGCCAUCCCGGCUUACCAACCCGAUGCAAACUGCGAAUACCGGAGAAUGUUAUCACGGGAGACACACGGCGGGUGCUAACGUCCGUCGUGAAGAGGGAAACAACCCAGACCGCCAGCUAAGGUCCCAAAGUCAUGGUUAAGUGGGAAACGAUGUGGGAAGGCCCAGACAGCCAGGAUGUUGGCUUAGAAGCAGCCAUCAUUUAAAGAAAGCGUAAUAGCUCACUGGUCGAGUCGGCCUGCGCGGAAGAUGUAACGGGGCUAAACCAUGCACCGAAGCUGCGGCAGCGACACUAUGUGUUGUUGGGUAGGGGAGCGUUCUGUAAGCCUGUGAAGGUGUGCUGUGAGGCAUGCUGGAGGUAUCAGAAGUGCGAAUGCUGACAUAAGUAACGAUAAAGCGGGUGAAAAGCCCGCUCGCCGGAAGACCAAGGGUUCCUGUCCAACGUUAAUCGGGGCAGGGUGAGUCGACCCCUAAGGCGAGGCCGAAAGGCGUAGUCGAUGGGAAACAGGUUAAUAUUCCUGUACUUGGUGUUACUGCGAAGGGGGGACGGAGAAGGCUAUGUCAGCCGGGCGACGGUCGUCCCGGUUUAAGCGUGUAGGCUGACUUUCCAGGCAAAUCCGGAAAGUUAAGGCUGAGGCGUGAUGACGAGGCACCACGGUGCUGAAGUGACAAAUGCCCUGCUUCCAGGAAAAGCCUCUAAGCAUCAGGUAACAUCAAAUCGUACCCCAAACCGACACAGGUGGUCAGGUAGAGAAUACCAAGGCGCUUGAGAGAACUCGGGUGAAGGAACUAGGCAAAAUGGUGCCGUAACUUCGGGAGAAGGCACGCUGACAUGUAGGUGAAGCCCCUGCGGGUGGAGCUGAAGUCAGUCGAAGAUACCAGCUGGCUGCAACUGUUUAUUAAAAACACAGCACUGUGCAAACACGAAAGUGGACGUAUACGGUGUGACGCCUGCCCGGUGCCGGAAGGUUAAUUGAUGGGGUUAUCGCAAGAGAAGCUCCUGAUCGAAGCCCCGGUAAACGGCGGCCGUAACUAUAACGGUCCUAAGGUAGCGAAAUUCCUUGUCGGGUAAGUUCCGACCUGCACGAAUGGCGUAAUGAUGGCCAGGCUGUCUCCACCCGAGACUCAGUGAAAUUGAACUCGCUGUGAAGAUGCAGUGUACCCGCGGCAAGACGGAAAGACCCCGUGAACCUUUACUACAGCUUGACACUGAACAUUGAGCCUUGAUGUGUAGGAUAGGUGGGAGGCUUUGAAGCGUGGACGCCAGUCUGCGUGGAGCCAACCUUGAAAUACCACCCUUUAAUGUUUGAUGUUCUAACCUGGCGCCGUGAUCCGGCGUGGGGACAGUGUCUGGUGGGUAGUUUGACUGGGGCGGUCUCCUCCCAAAGUGUAACGGAGGAGCACGAAGGUCAGCUAAUCCUGGUCGGACAUCAGGAGGUUAGUGCAAUGGCAUAAGCUGGCUUGACUGCGAGAGUGACGGCUCGAGCAGGUGCGAAAGCAGGUCAUAGUGAUCCGGUGGUUCUGUAUGGAAGGGCCAUCGCUCAACGGAUAAAAGGUACUCCGGGGAUAACAGGCUGAUACCGCCCAAGAGUUCAUAUCGACGGCGGUGUUUGGCACCUCGAUGUCGGCUCAUCACAUCCUGGGGCUGAAGUAGGUCCCAAGGGUAUGGCUGUUCGCCAUUUAAAGUGGUACGCGAGCUGGGUUUAGAACGUCGUGAGACAGUUCGGUCCCUAUCUGCCGUGGGCGCUGGAGAAUUGAGGGGGGCUGCUCCCAGUACGAGAGGACCGGAGUGGACGCAUCACUGGUGUUCGGGUUGUCAUGCCAAUGGCACUGCCCGGUAGCUAAAUGCGGAAGAGAUAAGUGCUGAAAGCAUCUAAGCACGAAACUUGCCCCGAGAUGAGUUCUCCCUGAGACUAUAAGUCUCCUGAAGGAACGUUGAAGACGACGACGUUGAUAGGCCGGGUGUGUAAGCGCAGCGAUGCGUUGAGCUAACCGGUACUAAUGAACCGUGAGGCUUAACCUUACAACGCCAAAGAAGU